rnacentral:rRNA from 1 species
CUCCCGGGGGGGGGGGGGGGAGACGCGUGAGAAUCUGUUUUCUAGGAUGGGGAUAACGACUGGAAACGAGCUCGUUAAUACCCGAUGUGCCGAGAGGUGAAAGAUUGUAUCGCCUGAAGAUGAGCUCGCGUCCGAUUAGCUAGUUGGUAGGGUAAGAGCCUACCAAGGCGACGAUCGGUAACUGGUCUGAGAGGAUGACCAGUCACACUGGGACUGAGACACGGCCCAGACUCCUACGGGAGGCAGCAGUGGGGAAUUUUCCGCAAUGGGCGCAAGCCUGACGGAGCAAGACCGCGUGGGGGAAGAAGGUUUGUGGAUUGUAAACCCCUUUUAUCAGGGAAGAAGCUCUGACGGUACCUGAUGAAUCAGCCUCGGCUAACUCCGUGCCAGCAGCCGCGGUAAUACGGAGGGGGCAAGCGUUAUCCCGAAAUUUUUGGGCGUAAAAGCUUCCCAGGGUGGCUAUACGUGUCAGUUGUUAAAGAAUGGGGCUUAACUCCAUAUGGGCGAUUGAAACUGUAUAGCUAGAGAGUGGUAGGGGCAAGGGGAAUUCCCAGUGUAGCGGUGAAAUGCGUAGAUAUUUGGGAAGAACACCAGGCUGGCGAAAGCGCUCUUGCUGGGCCAUCACUGACGCUGAGAGACGAAAGCUAUGAAGCGUUGGAUAAUCUCCUCUUUUGUAACACCACC